GACGAACGCUGGCGGCGUGCUUAACACAUGCAAGUCGAACGGAAAGGCCCUGCUCUUGUGGGGUGCUCGAUUGGCGAACGCGUGAGUAACACGUGAGUAACCUGCCCUUGACUUUGGGAUAACUUCAGGAAACUGGGGCUAAUACCGGAUAGGAGCUCCUGCUGCAUGGUGGUGGUUGGAAAGUUUCGGCGGUUGGGGAUGGACUCGCGGCUUAUCAGCUUGUUGGUGUGGUAGUGGCUUUCCAAGGGUUCGACGGGUAGCCGGCCUGAGAGGGGGACCGGCCACAAUGGGACUGAGGGACGGCCCAGACGCCUACGGGAGGCAGCAGUGGGGAGUAUUGCGCAAUGGGCGGAAGCCUGAGGCAGCAACGCCGGGUGCGGGAUGACGGGCUUCGGGGUGUAAACCGCUUUCGCCGGUGACGAAGCGUGAGUGACGGUAAUGGGUAAAGAAGCACCGGCUAACUACGUG
rnacentral:rRNA from 1 species